GCAUAUCAAUAAGCGGAGGAAAAGAAACUAACAAGGAUUCCCCUAGUAGCGGCGAGCGAAGCGGGAAGAGCUCAAAUUUAUAAUCUGGCACCUUCGGUGUCCGAGUUGUAAUCUCUAGAAGUGUUUUCCGCGUUGGACCGCACACAAGUCUGUUGGAAUACAGCGGCAUAGUGGUGAAACCCCCGUAUAUGGUGCGGACGCCCAGCGCUUUGUGAUACACUUUCAAUGAGUCGAGUUGUUUGGGAAUGCAGCUCAAAUUGGGUGGUAAAUUCCAUCUAAAGCUAAAUAUUGGCGAGAGACCGAUAGCGAACAAGUACCGUGAGGGAAAGAUGAAAAGCACUUUGGAAAGAGAGUUAACAGUACGUGAAAUUGUUGGAAGGGAAACGCUUGAAGUCAGACUUGCUUGCCGGAGCUUGCUUCGGUUUGCAGGCCAGCAUCAGUUUUCCGGGGUGGAUAAUGACGGUUUGAAGGUAGCAGUCUCGGCUGUGUUAUAGCUUUCCGUUGGAUACAUCCUGGGGGACUGAGGAACGCAGCGUGCUUUUUGCGAAAGACUCGUC
rnacentral:rRNA from 1 species